UUCCCAAUCAUUAUCUCAUAUCUGAGAUUUCAAUUAAUUUUGAUCCAUCCAUCCUCAGCUCCUCGCUACCCCGUAGACUCACAGUCAGCAAACAGCAGGAAGAAAAUGAAAAUCUGGAAAUAGACAAAGAAACAGCAGCAGCAACAAGUGAAUCAGAGGCAAAGAAACAGCCACUACUCUCUGCCUUCUCUGCGUCUGCUUUUUCUCUGUCUUAGCUCCUUUCUACACGAACAACCGCUGAGCGGCUUAAUCAACUGCCUUAGCAAAUAAGAAUAAUUGAACCACUUUUCUCUGUAAAACAAGUUUAAGACGAGGAAAAGAAUUAUGGGCAUUUUACCCGACGACGUGGUGAUCAUCAGGCAAUCCGAGAAAGAAAGAGACCUCAGCGUUAUCACCGUCAAUUGCCCUGAUAAGACUGGCCUUGGUUGUGAUUUGUGUCGCAUCAUACUCUUCUUUGGCCUUAAUAUCGUUAAAGGAGAUUUAUCUACGGAUGGUAAAUGGUGUUACAUAGUGUUUUGGGUUGCUGGCAAUUCAUCAACUAGAUGGGGCCUUUUGAAGAAGAGAUUAUUAGGGGUUUGCCCUUCUUGCUCUUCAGCUUCUGGGAUUUCGUAUUAUCGUUCAGAAUUGCAGCAGCCUCCAAGGCCUCCUGAUGUCUUUCUCUUGAAGUUAUGCUGUCAUGACCGAAGAGGGCUUUUACACAAUGUGACUGAGGUGCUAUGUGAGCUUGAACUCACAAUAAAAAAAGUGAAGGUAUCCACAACACCAGAUGGGAGGGUGAUAGACCUAUUCUUCCUUACAGACGCCAGGUUUUGCAUUCAUUUUGUCUUCUCAGACAUUUUACAAUUUGUUUCACUGAUUUUAUUACUGUUUUAACUUUUAAUGAUAUGUGGUACACUUUUUAUGCUCAUUAAGUGCCAUUGACAUGUUACUUUGAAGUGAUUGUUAACAUUCUAAAUUCAAACAACAUUAAGUUCAAUUUUAUAGUGCAUUGAAAGGAUUCUGGUUUUAACCUUUACUUUUAUUUAUAAAGCAGUAUAUGGUGCCUAUUUCUAACUCAGAUUGUCCAAUCGGAGUAGUUGCAUCCUGUAAUAAUGGGAAUCCCUGAAUUUAUAGAUGGAAUUGCAUCUUCUCUUGGAAUCCACAUUUGCUGACAACUUUUUAGGUCCUGUGAAAUGUGAAUUUACAGAUGGAUGUAAAGGCUUUCAAGUGAUAUUUUGUAGCCCCUUUUUGCAUUUAGAAAACUUGUGCUUGGGAUUAUCUUUUCAUCCAAAAGUAAUGUUCCUUUAAUGACUUGCCUUUGUCAGGGAGCUUCUGCAUACAAAUAAGAGAAAGGAGGAUACAUAUAAUCGCUUAAAAGCUGUUAUGGGAGAUGCCAUGAUAAGCUGUGACAUAGAAAUGGUUGGCCCUGAAAUUACUGCAUGUUCGCAGGAAUCAUCACUUCUUCCAACUAAAAUCACAGAUGACAUGCUUCACUUGGAAAUUCCUGAUGAACUCCAAAAUUUGCAGACUUCCUCUAGUGUUUCUGUUACAAUGGACAAUUCACUGAGUCCUGCUCAUACACUUGUUCAAAUUGCAUGCCAAGAUCAUAAAGGCCUUCUUUACGACAUACUGAGAACCCUCAAGGAUUACAAUAUAAAGGUAUAUACAUUAAUAGCAUAGGAUUUUGCUGAAUAACAUUUCCACGUCAUGUUCUCUAGUCUGGAAAGUCAAAUAUCUCAUUCUUUUUAUGGAGGAGAUUGCUUCUAUCAUUAUUCUCAUGUUUUGAAUGAAGUUAAGAACUUACUUUCUGCAAAGAAAACUAAGGGAAGCAAUAUUGAACUAUGUUUCUUUAUGCAAUAUUGAACUAUGUUAUGGCUUGUGUGAUCAGACUUCGUAUGGGCGAUUCACGAUAAAACAGAGAAGAAACUGUGAGAUUGACUUGUUUAUUGUUCAAGCUGAUGGGAAGAAGAUAGUUGACCCUAACAAACAGAGAGCAUUGUCUUGUCAUCUGGAGAUGGAAUUACUGCGUCCUCUCAGAGUAGCUGUUGUUAGCCGCGGUCCUGACACAGAGCUACUAGUGGCAAAUCCUGUUGAGUUAUCUGGCAAAGGCAGGCCUCUUGUAUUCCACGAUAUCACACUUGCUCUUAAGAUGCUUAAGAGUUGCAUUUUCUCGGUACUUAUAUUUUUACUGAAUAAGCUUAGAUAAAUUUUUGGCUUGCUCGCUAUUUUUGCUUUUCCUUUGCAUCAAAGGACAUUAUAGUUUAUCAAAACAAGAUUAUGUUGCUGCAAUUAUGAGGUUGACAAUGCAUUACUGGCUGAGAUAAUGUGAAUAUGUGCAAUUAUUAUUCUUCUUCCUUCCAACAACAAUUAUGAUUUAUAUUGUUUGUUUUUCCAGGCUGAGAUUAGGAGGCGCAUGAUUGGAGAUCGUGAAUUUGAAGUCUACAGAGUCUUACUUGACGAAGGGGAAAGUUUGCCCAUCCCAAGAAGCAAAAUUGAGGGAGCAGUUUGGAAUAUGCUAAUGGGUUGGGACUGAGAUACUUUUAGAUAUCAUUCUUUUUAUAUUGCCAUGGCCUCCUUUGCAGAUUACUUCUCCCUAUCAAAAUGCGUAUGAGAUGUAAAUUAUGGAUUAUAUCUCCUUGAAAGGCAGAGCUGUUCCACUUCCACAUCUAUGCUUGUGACCCCUGUGAGGCUGACUUGUACCACAAUGAUGAGAAGUUGGUAGCAGGAGGUAAAAAAGAGUGUAGAGUUACAUGGAGCCUUGUAAUACAUGUUUAGCAUACAUGAAAUCUUUCUGGUAAUGGAUGCCUGUGAGGGCUCAGGUGAUAUCCUAUCAUGUAAUCCGUUAAUUCCUUUCUUCUUUCUUGUAAAUAAGAUCAGUAUGUAGAGCAUGCAAUGUAAAGUGACGAGGGCUUUUGUAGUUCAAAGCUACCAGCUGUGCCAAGAGAGGAACUGUACAAAACAUCUGCAUAUUAAGCAAAUAACGUAAAAAUUUCAUUGCAUAGUCUUGUGUAUUGUGUUUCUUAUAUAUUUUCUGUUUUAUUCAGCUGAUCAUUGAUGAACAUAUGGUGAGCUCUUCUGGCAAAGUACCUUCAUUUUCAACGCGUGUGUAUAUACAGUACCAUCUUUUCUACCCUAGCCAAAUGAUA
rnacentral:misc_RNA from 1 species